GAUGAACGCUGGCGGCGUGCCUAAUACAUGCGAGUCGAGCGAACAGAUGAGGAGCUUGCUCCUCUGACGUUAGCGGCGGACGGGUGAGUAACACGUGGAUAACCUACCUAUAAGACUGGGAUAACUUCGGGAAACCGGAGCUAAUACCGGAUAAUAUAUUGAACCGCAUGGUUCAAUAGUGAAAGACGGUUUUGCUGUCACUUAUAGAUGGAUCCGCGCCGCAUUAGCUAGUUGGUAGGGUAACGGCUUACCAAGGCAACGAUGCGUAGCCGACCUGAGAGGGUGAUCGGCCACACUGGAACUGAGACACGGUCCAGACUCCUACGGGAGGCAGCAGUAGGGAAUCUUCCGCAAUGGGCGAAAGCCUGACGGAGCAACGCCGCGUGAGUGAUGAAGGUCUUCGGAUCGUAAAACUCUGUUAUUAGGGAAGAACAAAUGUGUAAGUAACUAUGCACGUCUUGACGGUACCUAAUCAGAAAGCCACGGCUAACUACGUG
rnacentral:rRNA from 1 species